rnacentral:rRNA from 1 species
CAAGUCGAACGAGAAAGUGGAGCAAUCCAUGAGUAAAGUGGCGUACGGGUGAGUAACACGUGGAUAACCUGCCCUUUAGUGGGGAAUACCGCUGGGAAACCGGCGACAAUACCGCAUAAUCCCGAGAGGGGAAAGCAAUUAAAUGCGCUGAAGGAGGGGUCCGCGGUCGAUUAGCUAGUUGGUGAGGUAAUGGCUCACCAAGGCUGUGAUCGAUAGCCGGCCUGAGAGGGCACACGGCCACACUGGCACUGAAACACGGGCCAGACUCCUACGGGAGGCAGCAGUGGGGAAUCUUGCACAAUGGGGGCAACCCUGAUGCAGCGACGCCGCGUGAGCGAUGAAGCCCUUCGGGGUGUAAAGCUCUUUCGGCAGGGAAGAUUAUGACGGUACCUGCAGAAGCAGCUGCGGCUAACUACGUGCCAGCAGCCGCGGUAAUACGUAGGCAGCAAGCGUUGUUCGGAGUUACUGGGCGUAAAGGGUGUGUAGGCGGCUCUAUAAGUAUGGUGUGAAAUCUCCCGGCUUAACCGGGAGGGUGCGCUAUAGACUGUGGGGCUAGAGUGUGGGAGAGGAAAGUGGAAUUCCUGGUGUAGCGGUGAAAUGCGUAGAUAUCAGGAGGAACACCGGUGGUGUAAACGGCUUUCUGGACCAUAACUGACGCUGAGACACGAAAGCGUGGGUAGCAAACAGGAUUAGAUACCCUGGUAGUCCACGCCCUAAACGAUGCAUAUUUGGUGUGGGCCAUUCAUUUGGUCUGUGCCGGAGCUAACGCGUUAAAUAUGCCGCCUGGGGAGUACAGUCGCAAGGCUGAAACUCAAAGGAAUUGACGGGGGCCC